CAGUAGCCGCGGUAAUACAGAGGGUGCGAGCGUUAAUCGGAUUUACUGGGCGUAAAGCGUGCGUAGGCGGCUUCUUAAGUCGGAUGUGAAAUCCAUGAGCUUAACUUAGGAAUUGCAUUCGAUACUGGGAAGCUAGAGUAUGGGAGAGGAUGGUAGAAUUCCAGGUGUAGCGGUGAAAUGCGUAGAGAUCUGGAGGAAUACCGAUGGCGAAGGCAGCCAUCUGGCCUAAUACUGACGCUGAGGUACGAAAGCAUGGGGAGCAAACAGGAUUAGAUACCCGAGUAGUCCCUGUCUCUUAUAC
rnacentral:rRNA from 1 species